UACGGGGGGAGCAAACGUUGUUCGGAAUCACUGGGCGUAAAGGGCGUGUAGGCGGCUGGAUAAGUGGGAUGUUAAAUCCCCCGGCUCAACCGGGGACCUGCAUCUCAUACUGUUCAGCUCGAGCACAUCAGAGGAGACUGGAAUUCCCGGUGUAGCGGUGAAAUGCGUAGAUAUCUGGAGGAACACCGGUGGCGAAGGCGGCAUCCUGGACCAACACUGACACUGAGGAGCGAAAGCCAGGGGAGCAAACGGG
rnacentral:rRNA from 1 species